AAGGCGUUGUACGUCGGUGACACCGCGGGGACGAACGACACGGUGACGGUGACGGUGACGGCGGCGGGGGGUGGCACCGAGGAGAGCGGCACGGACGCGCCACCGGCGAGGAGGGAGAGGAAUGUCACGGGAAGAACUGAGGAGGGAAAUGCCACCACGGUGGGAAGUGUCACCAGGGCCACCACGGUGGGAAGUGUCACCGGGGCCACCAUCGUGGGAAGUGUCACCGGGGCCACCACGGUGGGAAAUGUCACCAGGGCCAUCACCAGUGGCAGCGUCAUGGGAAGGAACGGCACGGUCACCGCGGUGGUCAGCGCCAACACGGACCAUGAUGUUGUCACCAGCUCUGACCAUGACGUGGUCACCACCACAGAGAGGGACAUGAUGGUCAGUGCCAACACGGACCAUGAUGUGGUCACCAGCACUGACCAUGACGUGGUCACCAGCACUGACCAUGAUGUGGCCACCAGCUCGGACCAUGACGUGGUCACCACCAUGGACCAUGACGUGGUCACCAGCACAGAGAGGGCCACCAGGGUCAGGGGCAGUGUCCCCAUGGCCACCACCACAGGGGACAACACCACGACGGUGCCACCAGAGCGGCGGGUGAGAAACGUCACGGGCUGGUCCGUGAGGAGCCACAGCGGGGCCACCACCCUGGAGGGUGAGACCGCAGCCGUGGACGGUGACACCGCGGUCACUCCCUCAGACCUCGCGGAGGGAGAGACCACGGCCAUGGAGGGUGAGAACGAGGUCACCGAGGGUGACACCGAGGCCACCCCCAUAGAAGGUGACACCGAGGCCACCCCCAUGGAAGGUGACACUGAGGCCACACCGGUGGCCACCACAGUAAGGAACACCAGGGCCACCACCGUGGAAAGUGACACCACGGCCACCACCCUGGAGAGCCACACCCUGUCCACCCUCCCCAUUGUCCCUGCUGACGUCACCUCAACGCCAGCCCCGCCCAAUGCCACCAACACCACCCUGGAUGUCACCGAGACCACGGCGGUGACGCCCCAGGCCCCGCCCAAUGCCACCGAAGCCACCGGGGCGCUGGGCCACGGCUCUGCCGGGACCACCGGGGACGUUCUGAGCAGCACGGCCACCUCCGCUGUGGCCACCGUGGCCACCAUCUGCCUCUUCCUCCCACACGGCUCCAGCCCCCCGGCCAGUGGGUGUCCUGGGGGGGUCACGGGGUUCAGGGUGGGGGUCUCCUGGGGUGG
rnacentral:lncRNA from 1 species